CCACGGGGGGCUGCAGUGGGGAAUAUUGGACAAUGGGCGAAAGCCUGAUCCAGCCAUGCCGCGUGUGUGAAGAAGGCCUUCGGGUUGUAAAGCACUUUCAGUGGGGAAGAAAGCCUUGGGGCUAAUACCCUCGAGGAAGGACAUCACCCACAGAAGAAGCACCGGCUAACUCCGUGCCAGUAGCCGCGGUAAUACGGAGGGUGCGAGCGUUAAUCGGAAUUACUGGGCGUAAAGCGCGCGUAGGCGGUCUGAUAAGCCGGUUGUGAAAGCCCCGGGCUCAACCUGGGAACGGCAUCCGGAACUGUCAGGCUAGAGUGCAGGAGAGGAAGGUAGAAUUCCCGGUGUAGCGGUGAAAUGCGUAGAGAUCGGGAGGAAUACCAGUGGCGAAGGCGGCCUUCUGGACUGACACUGACGCUGAGGUGCGAAAGCGUGGGUAGCAAACAGGAUUAGAUACCCGAGUAGUC
rnacentral:rRNA from 1 species